rnacentral:ncRNA from 1 species
AAGAGCCGGAUGUGCGGCUACGUACAAAUCCGGUUCUGUGAGAGGGAGCAGGGGAGGUUCCUGCUCUCUACUCGAC